rnacentral:misc_RNA from 1 species
AGGAAAGUCUCACUUCUCAUCAUUCUUCUUGGAAUUUCACUCUCUGAGCUGACUCAGUCACACUUUCACUCGCCAAAUGCCUUCUGGGCUUCGCGAACUCACUGUACUCGGCGAGUUCAAGCCAUUUGGCUUAAUCGCCGAGGCUCUCGAUGGCAAGCCUCCUGAUAAUGUGGCCGAUAAGUACGAUUACUUCCUUUUCGACCCCGAAAUCGUCCGAGACAGAAAUGAAAUGGACGACGCCGAUGCCUCGGGACCCGCUCUGAGAGAUCGCUGCGACCACGAGCUCUUCAUUAGAGGAAACAGGAUUAUAUGGUCCACAGGUUCACGAGUGUUCAAGAGAUUCACCUCUCCCUCUCCAGUUAUAAUGGCAUGCUGGUGUCAUGUGGGUGAUAUGUCUGACGCUUUCCUUUGUAUCUUGCUAAGUGACUCUCUAACUGUAUACAACAUAUCAGGUGAAGUAGUAUCCAUUCCCCUUCCAUGUGCCAUUACAUCAAUAUGGCCUCUUCCAUUUGGUUUACUACUUCAGCCAGCAGCUGAAGGGAGUUCACCAGCACAAUCUACUUUUUCAUCCACAAGUCCUUUAUUAGGUGCACGCGAUAUAUCCCGUCCUAGAAGAGAAAUUAGGCAUAGUCCCCAGCAAAAUGCCACCUUUUUGGGAGCAUUUGAUCGUGUGAUCAAAGCAGAUACAGUUACCUUGUCCUCACAUCUGAUUCUGAAAGAUCUGUUGGAAGAGCCACAGUCAACAUAUAUUGAAGAAAGAGGAAAAUUAAGCAUAAUGAAGGAUUUUGAUGAAAGAACAAUUUGGACAAGUGAUCGAAUUCCUCUAAUGGCAUCAUAUAAUAAAGGAAAAAUGCAGCAUUCAGUGUGGGUUGCUGAAGUCAUCAAUUCCAACCUUGAAGUGGCAAGUGGCAGUUUAAUUGAUGCAGUUCCCGCUGGUUUAUUAGCUAAACAAUUUUCCUUUCGUAGAAUAUGGCAAGGGAAGGGUGCCCAGACAGCUGCUUGUAAGAUUUUUCUUGCCACUGAUGAUGAUUCAGCUCCUGUUAUUUGUUUUCUUCUUCAAGAACAAAAGAAAUUGUUGUCAGUAAGGCUUCAAAGUCUUGAAAUCAAUAAUGAGAUAAUCUUUGAUGUUAAGCCUGACAUGAGCUGGAGCAUACCUGCAAUUGCGGCUGCACCAGUGGUUGUAACUCGUCCAAGGGUGAAAGUGGGUCUACUGCCAUAUACAGACAUCAUUGUUUUGGCUCCAGAAAACACGCUUCUUCUUUAUUCAGGGAAGCAGUGCCUGUGCAAGUAUUUGUUGCCAUCUUGCUUGGGUAAAGGUCGGCUUUCACAUAAUUCAGAGUUUUCAGAGACAGUAUCCAUUCCCCAUGACUUAAAGAUUUUAGGAUUGGCUGAUGCUGUAGAGGGGCGUGUCAAUCUAAUAACAAAUAAUGGGCAGAUGUUUCGAUGUGUAUUACGAAGAAGUCCUUCAUCUGUAUUGGUGAAUGAUUGCAUCACAGCAAUGGCUGAGGGGCUCAGUUCAAGUUACUACAAUCAUUUCCUUGGUGUUCUUUGGGGAGACACUGACUCUGAAUGUUUGUCAAAGGUUGAUUAUAGUGUUGAUUCUGAAUGGAAGUCAUUUUGUGGUGUUAUACUUGGAAUGUGUAGAAAGUCCAGUGCAAUUUCUCAUAAGCAUUCGAGUUCACAGAUGCUUUCGUCCUGGGAGUUCCUUCUUAACAGCAAAUUUCACAUGAACUAUGGAAAACUUAGCUCCAUUACUGGAAUUUCUUCUGGAAUAUCACUUGAUGUGAGGGAAAUAGAUUCUUCUGGACCAAAUAUGAAAUGUGAGCAAAGUUCAGAAGAAUCAUUUUCUGGUGAGCUAUUACAGGAGUCUCUGGGUUCUCUGCAUGCAUUAUAUGAAAAUCUGAAACUGGAUAAUCUUCGCAAACUGGACUUGGAGCUUCUGGCUGUUCUACAAUGCAAUAUUGCGGAAUUUCUUGGCCAGGAGAGCUACUUAGAUCAUUAUAUUCGUGAUUUUCCAUGCCUUUUUAAGAAAAUUGGGAUAUAUCCUAAGUCUUUCGCUCAAAAAACUGCCCCUAGUAUAUUCAGGUGGCUUGAACACUGUUUGCAAUUUGGUUGUAGCUCUGCUAAUAAAAAUGAUCUCCCACCUUUAAUUUACAAAGACGGAAUUUCUGUUCUGAGCUGGGCACGAAAGAUAGUCUCCUUUUACAGUUUAUUAUGUGGUGGUAAACAGAUGGGCAAGAAGCUAUCAUCUGGUGUUCACUGUAAUGUUGCUAUAGGAUCAUAUGGAACUAGUGAGGAGCUCACUGUCUUGGCAAUGGUUGGGGAAAGAUUUGGAUUGCAACAACUUGACUCCCUGCCUUCUGGUGUAUCUCUUCCUCUGCGACAUGUGUUAGAUAAGUGCCGGGAAUCUCCACCGACCGACUGGCCUGAAGCUGCAUACGUUCUUCUUGGUCGAGAAGAUCUGGCUUUGUCACAUUUGGCACAUACCUGCAAAUCUAAGGAACUUGAAACUCAAUCCAAUGUGAAUUUAAUAUCAAUGUCUUCACCAUACAUGCUUCAUUUGCAUCCAGUGACAAUUCCUUCUGCUGUUUCUGACACAACUGGAUUGGAGAGUUCAAAGUUUGAGGAUACAGAUUCUGCUGAUGGAUCCAUGAUGGAUGGUAUGGAACACAUCUUCAACUCUAGUACUCAGUUGCGGUAUGGUCGAGAUCUCCGAUUGAAUGAGGUUAGACGCCUUUUGUGUUCUGCAAGACCUGUGGCUAUUCAAACAUCCGUUAAUCCAAGUGCCUCUGAUCAGGAUAUCCAGCAGGCUCAAUUGUGGCACCUGGCACAAAGGACCACCGCACUUCCCCUGGGCCGUGGGGCAUUUACUUUGGCAACAAUAUCUACUCUCUUAACAGAGGCCUUCACUGUCCCAAAGCUUGUUUUAGCUGGUCGGUUGCCUGCCCAACAAAAUGCAACUGUUAAUCUGGACCCUAAUAUAAGGAAUAUACAAGAACUUAAGUCUUGGCCAGAGUUUCACAAUGCUGUUGCUGCUGGACUAAGGCUGGCCCCGCUUCAGGGAAAAGUGUCGAGAACAUGGAUUAUAUAUAACAAACCUGAGGAACCAAAUGUUAUUCACGCUGGACUUCUCCUUGCUUUAGGAUUACAUGGAUAUCUCCGCGUUUUAAUUAUUACUGACAUAUAUACAUAUUUCACACAGGAACAUGAGAGCACAACUGUAGGAUUAAUGCUUGGCCUGGCUGCAUCUUAUAGGGGGACAAUGCAACCAGCAAUAUCAAAGACACUUUAUGUGCACAUACCUGCUCGACAUUCUUCUUCAUUUCCAGAGUUAGAAUUGCCAACCCUUCUGCAGUCAGCAGCAUUAGUGUCACUUGGGCUUCUUUAUGAAGGAUCCGUGCACCCACAGACGAUGCAAAUCCUUUUGGGUGAAAUGGGCCGCAGAAGUGGAGGUGAUAAUGUACUUGAAAGAGAGGGCUAUGCUGUUUCUGCAGGCUUUGCUUUGGGUCUUGUUGCAUUGGGCCGAGGGGAAGAUGCACUUGGUUUUAUGGACAGUUUGGUUGAUCGAUUGUUUCACUACAUUGGUGGGAAGGAAAUUCAUAAUGAAAGACUACUUUUCUUGACACCAUCAGCUGAUGAACACAAUCGUGGAAUUGGACAGAUGAUGGAUGGAACUGCUGUUAAUGUUGAUGUUACUGCACCUGGAGCUAUAAUUGCUCUUUCCCUAAUGUUUUUGAAGACUGAAUCAGAGGCAAUUGUAUCGAGGCUUUCAAUUCCUCAGACUUAUUUUGAUUUGCAAUAUGUGAGGCCUGACUUCAUAAUGCUUCGAGUCAUAGCCCGUAAUUUGAUAAUGUGGAGCAGGGUGCAUCCCUCCAAAGACUGGAUUCUGUCCCAGAUUCCUGAGAUUGUGAAAAGUGGUGUUGAAGGCCUUGGAGAUGACAUUAAUGAUAUUGAUGACAUGGAUGCAGAAACCUUUGUCCAGGCAUAUGUAAAUAUAGUGGCUGGAGCAUGCAUUUCUUUAGGUUUGAAGUUUGCUGGCGCAAAGGAUGGAAAUGUGCAGGAAUUACUUUAUGAAUAUGCUGUUUAUUUUUUAAACGAGGUUCUGCAUCCAGCAUGUGUAAUGGUACUGGAUUAUAUAUAUUAGUAUAUUGAUAGUAGAUUAUCUAUGCAAUUGUUUCCAGAUCAAGCCUGUUUCUGCUACAAGUGGAAAUACUUCUCCCAAGGGAUUGUCUCGCUAUGUUGACCGUGGCACUUUGGAAAUAUGCCUUCACCUCAUUGUUCUUUCCUUGUGUGUGGUUAUGGCUGGUUCUGGACAUCUACAAACAUUUCGGUUACUGAGAUUUCUUCGGAACCGUAAUUCUGCAGAUGGUCAUGCUAAUUAUGGAAUUCAAAUGGCUGUAAGCUUGGCAACUGGUUUCUUGUUUCUUGGGGGAGGAAUGCGGACAUUUUCAACAAGCAACAGUUCUAUUGCUGCUUUAUUAAUUACUCUUUACCCACGUUUGCCUACUGGACCAAAUGAUAAUCGCUGCCACCUUCAGGCAUUUAGGCAUUUAUAUGUCCUUGCGACAGAGGCUCGCUGGAUUCAGACUGUUGAUGUUGACAGUGGUUUACCUGUUUAUGCUCCUCUUGAAGUUACCAUUAAGGAAACUGAACAUUAUGCAGAAACAAGUUUUUGUGAAGUUACUCCUUGUAUUUUGCCUGAACGUGCUGUUUUGAAGAGUGUACGGGUUUGUGGCCCUCGGUAUUGGCCUCAAGUGAUGGAGCUUGUCCCUGAAGAUAAACCUUGGUGGAGUUUUGGCGACAAGAAUAACCCAUUUAAUUCUGGUGUUCUCUAUAUCAAACGAAAGGUCGGAGCUUGUUCAUAUGUGGAUGAUCCCGUAGGACGCCAAUCUCUGCUGUCACGAGCAAUGCAUAAGGUUUUUGGUUUGACUAGUACAAGAGCAUGUAAUCCUACUGUCAGUGGCAACAGUGGAUUGGGUGCUGUUUCAGUUGAUCAGUUGGUCAGUACUUUCUCUUCUGAUCCUAGCUUAAUUGCCUUUGCUCAACUUUGCUGUGACCCUUCCUGGAAUAGCAGAUCCGAUGCUGAUUUCCGGGAAUUCUGUUUGCAAGUAUUAUAUGAAUGCAUUAGCAAAGACAGACCAGCUCUUCUACAGGUCUAUUUGUCAUUAUACACUACCGUUAGGUCCAUGAUUGACCAAGUUACAAAUGGUACUUUUGUUUUUAGAGACUCGCUUGCUAUUUCCAAUUUGAAGCUUGCACUAACCUACAAUGAGGCUCUUCUGAGUGGAAGAUUGACCACUUCGAGAGGCGGUGUUGUUCAAUCUAUCUUUCUAGGGUCUCUUAGGAAGCAGGUAGAAGAGCUCCUAACAUCUUCGGAGGCACUGAAGAAUGAUUUGUGCAACUAUUUGAAUUCAGCACAAUGGCCCAGUGAUGAGAAACAAGGAGAGAGGAAUUCAGUACUUCUUUCAUGGUAUCUUCGAUGGUGUGGAGUCCCAGGUCCGUCUGUGAUCUGGAUAGCAAUGGAGAAAAUCAAGCCCAAGGUCUUUUCAUCAUCUUCAGUUCCAUUGUUGCGUUUGUUAUUUCCAACUACUCACAUCAAUGCCAUUGGUGAGAUAGAAAAAUCCUUGUUUUCUUCUCAAGUCAGCAGCUGAGGUUUUUCAGAAGGGUAUUAUCACGUGCAAUGGCCUCUAUAUUUUUGGUAAUUUAUGAAAACCCAAUCAUUUUGAAAGAUUUUACAUUAGGCCUCAAGAUGAAGAAACAAUCAGGAUCAAAUUUAUGUUUCUUGAUAGCUUCUGUUGUUAAGCUCUUGUACAUGCUUGUAAGGUUUCAUAAACCAGUCUGACUCGCUGCAUCAUUCUUUAAGCAUAACCCUUCUGAAGAUUCAUAUUUCAGCACAUUGCAUUGCCUUGCCACACAACUUUAUGCUAUAUGGAAAUGUAAGAAAUUUGAGGUAAAUCAGUAAAUUCUGACAUAUUUUUCAUAUAUGAAAUGCAUUUACUAUGUCUUGAAUUUGGAGGCAGGAGCUUUUACUUGUUAUGAUGUGUGCAUAGAGGAAUUCAUUCCAUGUACCAGGCAGUCAUUGGAGACACCAGUGAAUGGCUAGAUUAGAAUUCUGCUCUGGAAAAAUAAUUUACCACCUUAGAGUAAUAAACAGAGAUAUGCUUAUCUUUCUGUACUCCGAGAGUGUUGUUAUGUUAAGGAAGCAGACUGGUACUUCCAGUUACAUUGGCAGCAAUUGCGAAAAUUUGCUGGUCUGUGCCCACAUCAAAAGGUAUGGACGUGUUUAUUAAUAGUGCUGCCACCUUAUUGUCAGUGAUAUAUGAAAGAACAAUGGCUAUAUUUGUUCACUGAGAAUUGAAUUUAUUGUAAUGGCUAAAUGAGAUUAUCAUGAGUUUAGUUCUUGACAA